rnacentral:rRNA from 1 species
AUGCAAGUCGAACGGUAACAGCAGAGCUUGCUCUGGCUGACGAGUGGCGCACGGGUGCGUAACGCGUAUACAAUCUACCUAUUACUGGAGUAUAGCCCGAAGAAAUUUGGAUUAAUCCUCCAUAGUAUUAUUGAAUGGCAUCAUUUAGUAAUUAAAACUACGGUGGUAAUAGAUGAGUAUGCGUCCUAUUAGUUUGUUGGUAAGGUAACGGCUUACCAAGGCAUCGAUAGGUAGGGGUCCUGAGAGGGAGAUCCCCCACACUGGUACUGAGACACGGACCAGACUCCUACGGGAGGCAGCAGUGAGGAAUAUUGGACAAUGGAGGAAACUCUGAUCCAGCCAUGCCGCGUGCAGGAAGACUGCCCUAUGGGUCGUAAACUGCUUUUAUAGAGGAAGAAACCUUCUUACGUGUAAGAAGCUGACGGUACUCUAC